GGAAGGGAGGAAGCGUAGAAGGUGCCGAUGCACUUUUCCUCUCUCCAGCCCUCCUGACUGCUCCAAGAAUUUCAUCGAACAAGACUCAAAGAGGCCCAGCUGCUCUGCGUUUUGAUUCUUCUCCCUCUCUCAGUCCACACUGACCUGGGAGGGGCUUCUCAAACACCACAUUUCCUAGCGUGCUGUGAGAAGAGGACUGUGAGCUAAGAAGGGAGAAAAGGCACUCCCUCCUCAUCAACAAACACCUGACCUGGGUAGACCCUCUGCUUACCAAGAUCCAGUCCACCUUUUGACAUCAGCAUUCAUGCUGCCUCUUUUUACGAACCAAGCCAAAGUGGUCCCUUCCUCUGGAAAUUAUAGGAUACUUAAUGUACAUCAUAUCCAGCACUUUCCAUCAAAAAGCAGAGUAUUUCAGCAUCAUCUGAACCUGGGCUAGACUUAGGACUUAUACUGAUGAACAAAAUGUGACAGGAGUGAUGUUACUCAGUUCCAAGCUUAAGCCUCUAGAGACAGACUCUGCAGCUUCCACUUACAUCUCUUGAAUGCCAUCCUGAGAGCAACAUGUGAAAAAGUCCAAGCUAGCCUACUGGAAGAUGAAAGACUACAUGGAACACAGACAAGCCAUUCCGGCUGAGGCCCCCUAAGCCAACCUAACAAUCCACCCACAGAAUUGUGAGAAGUCAUUAAAUUAUCCUUUUAAACCACUAA
rnacentral:lncRNA from 10 species